rnacentral:rRNA from 1 species
UACGUAGGGGGCAAGCGUUGUCCGGAAUUACUGGGCGUAAAGCGCGUGUAGGCGGGACGGCGAGUCGGUCGUGAAAGGCUUCGGCUCAACCGGAGAUGGCCGAUCGAAACUGCCGUUCUUGAGGGUCGAAGAGGAGAGUGGAAUUCCACGUGUAGCGGUGAAAUGCGUAGAGAUGUGGAGGAACACCGAUGGCGAAGGCAGCCUUCUGGGCCAACACUGACGCUCAUGCACGAAAGCGUGGGGAGCAAACAGG